CCAUGCUAGAUGGGGAGGUAGCGGUGCCCUGUAACCUGCAAUCCGCUAUAGCAGGAUUGAACUCCUAUUGGAGGCUUGAGUAUUUUGGGGUCUGCCCCAAGUAAGUGGUGUUGAAGUUUGGGUCCUACGCAAUAGAAGCUCAUGAACCCCGUCAGAUCCGGAAGGAAGCAGCGGUAAGUGGUCACUUUUAUGUGCCGUGGGGUCGCCUGAAUGGAGCUAACUGCUUGGGUAACGUUUGGGAUCUCAAGUCGAAUUUGGGUGCAUGG
rnacentral:SRP_RNA from 1 species